rnacentral:rRNA from 1 species
CCCGCUGAACUUAAGCAUAUCAAUAAGCGGAGGAAAAGAAACUAACAAGGAUUCCCCUAGUAACUGCGAGUGAAGCGGGAAAAGCUCAAAUUUUAAAUCUGAUAGUCUCUGGCUGUCCGAGUUGUAAUCUAGAGAAGUGUUACCCGCGCUGGACCGUGUACAAGUCUCCUGGAAUGGAGCGUCAUAGAGGGUGAGAAUCCCGUCUCUGACACGGACUCCCAGGGCUUUGUGGUAUGCUCUCAAAGAGUCGAGUUGUUUGGGAAUGCAGCUCAAAAUGGGUGGUAAAUUCCAUCUAAAGCUAAAUAUUGGCGAGAGACCGAUAGCGAACAAGUACCGUGAGGGAAAGAUGAAAAGAACUUUGGAAAGAGAGUUAAACAGUACGUGAAAUUGCUGAAAGGGAAACGCUUGAAGUCAGUCACAUUGGCCGGGGAUCAGCCUCACUUUUGUGUGGUGUACUUUCUGGUUAAUGGGUCAGCAUCAAUUUUGACUGUUGGAAAAAGACUUGGGAAAUGUGGCAGCUUCGGCUGUGUUAUAGUCUCUAGUCACAUACAACAGUUGGGAUUGAGGAAUUCAGCACGCCGCAAGGCCGGGUUUCGACCACGUUCGUGCUUAGGAUGCUGGCAUAAUGGCUUUAAGCGACCCGUCUUGAAACACGG